rnacentral:lncRNA from 1 species
UGCAACAAAAAAAUUGUGAAAACAUAUACAUCUCCCGAAAAAAAAAAGAGAAAAGAAAUGAAAAAUGGAGAUGAGAUAAAAGCACUUGCCUAAGCCAAAGACUCAUACCAUAAUGAGAUACUCAAAGAAAGAAAAAAACUGAGCGAAAAAAAAAGAGUCAAGUUGGACAACACCCCAUGAAAUAAUUUGUGCACAAAGAAAAGCAACAACAUGAAUGCCGAGUUUUAAACCUUUGUCAU